UACGAUGAAGAGUUUGAUCCUGGCUCAGGAUGAACGCUAGCGGCAGGCUUAACACAUGCAAGUCGAGGGGUAGAAGAAGCUUGCUUCUUUGAGACCGGCGCACGGGUGCGUAACGCGUAUGCAAUCUACCUUUCACAAAGGGAUAGCCCAGAGAAAUUUGGAUUAAUACCUUAUAGUAAUAUGACUUGGCAUCAAGAUGUAUUUAAAGAUUUAUCGGUGAAAGAUGAGCAUGCGUCCCA
rnacentral:rRNA from 1 species